rnacentral:lncRNA from 1 species
AUGAGAAUAUCUUUGAGUUGGUCUUCAUCAUCACUCAGAAUCACACUACUGGGAAUGGCAGCAGUAUCCUUUGGCACAGCGAAGUCACCUCCAGAAAUAGUGGCUCACAGCUCUCCUCAGGUUAUGCCAAUAUCAUACGAGGCUGACUCAGCCGUACUAGAGGUGAAGAGACUUCUGAUCCUGUUCUCUGCACGCUGAACGUGGACGUGGAACGGGAGCCUCUACAGAGAUGCCAAGAAGAUUAAGUAAUCAUUGUAGCAAAACCUAACUGCAGCUGAUUGCCACUUACCAACUGCCUAGUCCUGGUGUCUCCAUUCUGCAAAAAGCAGCUACUUUCGGAAAGUGAAGCAAAAAAACUCCUCUCACUUACAACAAAGGAGCAAUUGAUAUUAUCUUUUGUGCUGAUCCAUGCUAACAUAUUAAAGUAAGCAGCAGUAUAAAGUAAGUAGUACUUGCCUUGGCUUAAUGGAUUUCACAUUUUUCUAGUUCUAAAUUUAAAAGAAUAUCAGCAAUGCAGCUCAUUUCACAGUUAAAUACCAUAUAUCUGCUUAGAAAUAGUUUGAGUUGAGAUAUAUGCUAGUCAAAAUUGUAGUCUGAGCUCUCCUGUUUCUUUCAGCUUUUCCAACAAUAAAUGUAUCAGAAAUUCCUCA